rnacentral:rRNA from 1 species
UACAGGGGGGGCAAGCGUUGUUCGGAAUUACUGGGCGUAAAGGGCUCGUAGGCGGCCAACUAAGUCACACGUGAAAUCCCCAGGCUUAACCUGGGAACUGCGUGUGAUACUGGAUGGCUUGAAUUCGGGAGAGGGAUGCAGAAUUCCAGGUGUAGCGGUGAAAUGCGUAGAUAUCUGGAGGAAUACCGGUGGCGAAGGCGGCGUUCUGGACUGCUACUGACACUGAGGAACGAAAGCCAGGGGAGCAAACGGG